CAGUCGCCGCGGGAAAACGAAGGGGGCUAGCGUUGUUCGGAAUUACUGGGCGUAAAGCGCACGUAGGCGGAUAUUUAAGUCAGGGGUGAAAUCCCAGAGCUCAACUCUGGAACUGCCUUUGAUACUGGGUAUCUUGAGUAUGGAAGAGGUGAGUGGAAUUCCGAGUGUAGAGGUGAAAUUCGUAGAUAUUCGGAGGAACACCAGUGGCGAAGGCGGCUCACUGGUCCAUUACUGACGCUGAGGUGCGAAAGCGUGGGGAGCAAACAGGAUUAGAUACCCCCGUAGUCCCUGUCUCUUAUAC
rnacentral:rRNA from 1 species